GAAAGAGUUGUGCGUCGAAGAGCUGU
rnacentral:piRNA from 1 species